CGAGCCCUUCGCUCCCUGCUGACCCGUGUGGGGACCUCGCAGACGCGGCUCCCUCCCUCCCGUGUUUGUGCGACGUGGCGCCGCUCGGCCUUUUCCCUGCGGAUGUUAACAGGCAGCCGGAGAGCCGGGGGCCGAGCCGGGGGCCGAGCCGUGGCCUCCCGGCUGCGGAGAGGCCCGGGCGCGGGGGGCAGCGGGCGCAAACUCGGCGCCGUCGGGGCUGCAGCUUCCGACCCCAAACGGGAGGGUGUCCCGGCCCCCGAGUCGUGUCCGCCUUCCUCCUCGACGUGCACGUGAAAAUGUCCUCGCUGGUGAAAUGUGACGUGACCUCCAGUUAAGAUCGCCACGGGAAAGUUUUCAAUGCCGCUGCUCUCAAACUUUGAUGCCGUAGCCUGAUGUUACAUUUCUGUCUCCUUUUAAGGAUAAGCUCGUUAUACGAGGACGUUUUCUUUUUAAAAUGAUUUUUGCAUUAUCUGGUUCAAAUAGGAGAUUUUUAAGCUAAUCUUGGAUGAUUUUUAAGUGCAUGCUAAUUGGAGUGACGUUAUGUAAACCUGUAUGAACUGUUCACAGUAAAUGUUGAGGCCUUCAAAAUACAAGGUGCUAGUAUCUAAUGAUUUUCUUAACGUAGUUUUUAUGCCCCUUUUAUUCUGGUCCUAUACUCUCUCAGUGAACCCUAAAGCAAACUAGGCGUAAUUAAAAUAAGUAUUUGUUAUAGAAGACCUUCAUUUGGUGCCACGACCGGCAUUCUCUUUGAAAUUGAUUAGAAACUAUCGAAUCAUCACAAAAUGGCUUCUAUUAGAAGAUAGGGACUUACAUAAAAUGGAUACAGUUGUUUACAGUAAAUUCUGAACACCCCAAAACAUGGGGAAGUAACCAUUAGCAUUCACAUAUAUGUAAAAAAAAUGUGAUCAAAUGCAAUGGUCGUUAGAGUCUAGUAGUUUGUUUUUAAAGACUCCCUCUAUACAGAUAGUGAAGGGCUUUGAAAUAAACGUAGGAAAGAAAACCUCAGCUUUGGUCUCAGGUUUCCUUUUCACAGGCCGUUUGCAGUUUCUUUUUUCUGGAAUGCCUUUCUCUCAAAAUUCACCCUCCUGCAAAUGCACAUCCCCCCCCCCCCCCCAAGUUGUCAGGACGUUGAAGGUCACAAACUCCUUGAAGCUUCCUCUGUGGUCCAGGACUCAUAGAGCCUCGUCCAUUGAUCUGCAAUGACUUUGUAUAUUUACUUGUACUGCGCGCUCUCGAGGACAGGAAACACUUUAUUGGUCCACAUGUUGGUCCCCGGUGCCUAGAACAAUUUGCCAAUUUUUGUGACUGAAAUAACAUAUAUAUUCAAACUUAAGACUGGGAUUAGUCCUUUCAGUGACUCACUAAGAAGCAAAGCUUUUGAUUAUUUAGAAUAGUCCAAACCACAUUAAUCUCUACUUCCCCGAAUUCCUACAGCAUAUUUAAGACAAUACGGUUUCUCUAAAUUUGGAUGAGUAAAGAAGUAACAUAUUAAUUAAUGUCUCUCUUCCAAUUAAUUAGGUUUGAAGACAGAGCCUGACCAUAUACAUCUUUUAUAUACCCAUAGUUUCUCUACCUCACCUAAUUUGGGACACAUACUAGAAGAUUAAAACAUACUUUUCAAUUGACUAGCUGAUUACACGUAAAAGUAUCAUUAUUUUGGAAAGCUCCACAAAGUGGAAAAAAAAAAUGGUAAUCCAAAUGACAAAAUAGAGGUCUACAAUGCCAGUGAGUAAUUAUCUACACAAAGCUACUUGACUGUCCACUUUUCUUUGGUUGUGGAAAACUGACUUCUGAUUUUAUUACACUUUAAAUUCUUUUAAAAUGUUAUUAACUUGCUUUGGACAAUGGCAAACUACAACUGGUCCCCCCACCCCCCGCCCCCAGAAUAUAUUUUGUUUUUGAACUAUGACUUUGAGUAACUUUGUGGUAAUACUGUAUGUCGCUAGAGCAUUCUUUCACUUAAGAUUCUCAUCGUGAUUUUUCAUGAGUUUUUCUGAAAUUCCUGAUUGGAAAAUUAUUUCUGGCCCCACUCAGAUAUUAUACAAUCUUAGGGCUAAAUCAGACUAUCAGACUGUUAAAAAGCAAGGGCACAGUUCUAGACAAUGACAGUCGAUUAAUUAUUCAGUGGGGCCAGAUGGAUAUGUACAGGUUAUGUCCUUUUGCAUGUUUGAAUUUAUAGUGAGUUAAAUCUGUUUACACAGGCGUUGAUUCCAUGCCAGUGAGGGACACGGAAGAUGUCUGUUCGGUGCCUGUGAGGGACAAAGAAGAUGUUUCUUCUGAAUACAAUUGACUCAGUUACCUGAGUUGUGUCUGAAAUGGAAAGCAGAAAGAGGGGAACAGGAUUUAAAGCGAGCUAUAUGCUGACUGCAGAGAGCUCGAUGCGUGGCUCACACUCACAAACCAUGAGAUCAUGACCUGAGCUGAUGUCGGAUGCUCAACCGACGGAGCCACCCAGGCGCCCCUCUUUUAUCUCUUCAAAACUCCGUUAACUCAGAAAAGUAGAAAUGGCAACGUCCAAACUCCCUAUCUUGGAGUUUUCAUGAGACCCAACAGAUGUAACCAAAAGCUUUCCAAAGCUUAAGAACUUUCGAGGAAAUCCACUUUCUUCGAGAUAAACCCCCACUUCCGUGGAGGAAGGAACGCUUUGAGGUCAAACUCCCAACUUCUUUCCUGAGAUUCAGCUUCCACCGGGAGAGUUUGCUUUUCCAGUGGGAACUACACAACAGGAGGGGGUCUGAUCCAGGCCUCACACUCUUCACUAGAGUAUGUGGUGACUGCUCCCCGCAUGCCGUCUGCAGUCUCCAUGAUAGAGCUUAGCAUCUUCCGUUUGUGGCCCCUUCCUGAUUUCCACCCUGCCAUUUUUAAACCUUCCCAAGCAGAAGUGGCUUUAAGCAUAUCCAGAUGCCUUGAACGCUAGACCCAGGAAAUGACCGGGAGGCAGUGACUUCUCUGGUUUGUCUAAUUCCCAUUUCCUAAAGAAAGUUAUUACCCUUCCGUGGAUGGUUAACAUCAAGAAUGUUCUCCCUGGGCCACCUGGCUGGCUCAGUUGGUAGAGCGUGUGACUCAUGAUCUUGGGAUCAUGAGUUCGAGCCCCACAUUGGGGUGUAGAGAUUAGUGGAAGGAAAGAAGGAAGGAAGGAAGGAAAGGAGGCAGGGAGGAAGGAAAGAAAGAAAGGACAGAAGAAAGCUCAGCCCCUUCAAGAUACCUUCCCUACCUACCCCUGGUAUAUCUCCAAAUGAAAACCUUAUCAGAAUACAACAGAAUAACGGUUUGGUUUCAUUUCAGUUACGGCAAUAAAAAUAACCCUUCUGGAUACUGUGUACACAUUAUCUCUUUUAAUCCUUAUGAGGCUGAUACUGACAUCCCUGUUGUACAGAUGAGAAAGCCACAGCUUCACAUUAAUGGCCUGCUUCAGUCGAUUUUCCAUGUCCUACGCAUAUAUAUCAGAACGCAGAGAAUUUUUUUCUCCACCAGGAGUUACAUGACAGUGCGGUAGCCCGUAGCCCCUUCAGAGAGCUGGCAGGAGGCAUCUCAUUUGAAUAACUGUUUCUGUGGUGUGAAAAUCUUGCCACUGAAGAUAUCUGCUAUUUCAGGCAAUGUCCUGUAUUUCCAGUUUCAUUCAAUAGUCUGCUAUUUAAGUUUGGAUAGUCUUUAUUGAUGAAUGUUUAUCGCUUCUUAGGCCAAAAAGUGAAAUCUUCUUUUUUUUUUCCUUUAGCUCUUGGGGAAAAAAAAAUCCGUCCUUGAUUGUAGUAAUCGGCUUAUCUUCGGUACUUAGUAAUAUCUAUCUGCUCUGUUACUUUUUGUAAAAUAAUAACUAAUAUUGCAAGUCCUAUGUGCUCAGCCUGAAAUUACAUAUAGGAUUUUAACCCUCACAAUGACCCUAUGAGGUAUACACCUACGAUUAUUCCCUCUUGACACUCUAAGGAACCGUGACCUGGAGAAGUGAGAUUCCUUACCCAAAGACCUAAAGUUGACCAAAGUGAGUUACGAACUCAGGUAGUCUGACUCCGAAACCUAUAGUAUUAGCCACUCUCCUAUGUUUUUGUCCCCAGUUCUCCUUUUUUGCAUCAUGUUUUACAAAUAAACCUCUUUCAGACUUCUUUUAAGGAAAAACGGUUAUUGUUCCUUAACUCACAAAUCAAUAGUAUGAU